rnacentral:lncRNA from 1 species
AGACAUUAUAAUACCCUUGUACGACCUAAGUCUCAUUAUCUCAUGAUUCGUGCUUAUAUAAUAUACUUGGCGAUGCCAUGAAGCCCCUUUUCCUUUGAUUUCUAUACGUGAUUUGUUGAAUGACAAUCCCUAAUGAGAAUUUACAUACCUUAUACCAUCCUUAGUAACUCUUAGAAUUUUUAUUGCAUCAGUUAUCACUUUGCAGUUCUAUAUUUAUGAUCGUAUCAUGAACAUUUCAAGUGAGUUCUAAAAUCUCAGCAUAAAUCAGCUCCUUAAAGUCAAUAAAGUCAAGUCAGCUCAGAAAUUAGUUUCAUGAUUGAAGUUUUAAUAUUUUAGCUCAUUUAUAUCCUUCAUUACCAUACAUAUCAUGCGUACAUUAUUCCAUACUUCUAAGACUUCAAUAAGUUCUUACCCAUCAUUCCAGGACAAAUGAUCCCAAAAGGGAGAUAUUGUAAUACCCCACAAGCUCUUAGAUAAGUUUCCAACUAUUUGUUAUAUGAUUAAAGUCCCCAAAGAGAUUAUGUGAAGCCAUAAUUAAGUCUCACAACCAUUAACCUUAUGUAUGAAGUGUGUUCGAUGUGAAUCAUGGUCAUAGGAAGCACUUAGACCAAAGUCGAGUUAAGAGCAUUUGUAUCGAUUUAGUUUUAGUAUCCGAUCCUACAUGGGUCAAAUUUAAACGUGUAUAGUUCCUAUAAUAUAAUGAUUCAGUCUCCUACUAUAUAUCAAAUCAAAGUUCUUUGAGUUGUUUUUCCAACACAUUUGAUUUCACCUUAAUUCGAUAUCGGAGUGGAAAGUUAUGCUCAUUUUACCUCAGCGUGUCCAUCUGUCAACAAGGUAACGACUUGAGGUGAUAAGCCAUCAACUAAGUAAUGAUCUAUCAACCUUGUCGUCAGCCUAAACUAGAAACACCCUGCAUUUCUAAAGGAACGAUGACGACUAGGUUGACAAGCCUUCAACUAGUUGAUAGGCUAUCAACUAACUCGUUAACCUUAACCAGAUUAUGAAGAGAAGGUGACAGCUAGGUUGACAAUUGUCAACUACAUCGUUAAUCUUAACUAGAUCAUGAAGAGAAGGUGACAACUAGGUUGACAAGUUGUCAACUAGUUGACAGACUGUCAACUAAGUCAUCAACUACAGAAAUUCCUAUAAUUUUUAUUCAGUUUUCCUAGGGGUAUUUUAGUCUUUUCCUCACCUCAAACCCUACCCCCAUGACUUAAAUCACCCUAUACAUGAUAGUUUUACAUCAUUAAUCAAUUUUUAAUAUUUGCUCUCCUCUCCACUCUCAAGAGAAAAGAAAUUAGGGUUUCUUCCCAAAAAUAAGAAAUUCAAGCUUUCUUCCCCAAGAACUCAAGAAUUCAAGCUCCAAUUUCAAGCUUUCAUCAAGAAAUCAAGAAAUUUAGGUAUGUGAUAUUUUGAACAAGGUUAAUCUUUCAUUCUUAUGCCCGACAGUAUAAUUUUCAAGUUGAAGUUACAUGUUUUAAAUUAGGGUUCAUCCCCAAAUUCUCAUGUAUUGAAGCAUAGCCUGUGAUUUAAAGGACUAAAGAGCAUAAGAGUUGUACUUAUUCAGGUUUUAAACUA